rnacentral:rRNA from 1 species
GACGAACGCUGGCGGCGUGCUUAACACAUGCAAGUCGAACGGAAAGGCCCUGCUUUUGUGGGGUGCUCGAGUGGCGAACGGGUGAGUAACACGUGAGUAACCUGCCCUUGACUUUGGGAUAACUUCAGGAAACUGGGGCUAAUACCGGAUAGGAGCUCCUGCUGCAUGGUGGGGGUUGGAAAGUUUCGGCGGGUGGGGAUGGACUCGGGGCUUAUCAGCUUGUUGGUGGGGUAGUGGCUUACCAAGGCUUUGACGGGUGGCGGGCCUGAGAGGGUGACCGGCCACAUUGGGACGGAGAUACGGCGCGGACUCCUACGGGAGGCAGCAGUGGGGAAUAUUGCACAAUGGGCGGAAGCCUGAUGCAGCAACGCCGGGUGCGGGGUGAGGGCCUUCGGGUUGUAAACCGCUUUCGCCUGUGACGAAGCGUGAGUGACGGUAAUGGGUAGAGAAGCACCGGCUAACUACGUG